rnacentral:rRNA from 1 species
UGGGGAAUAUUGCACAAUGGGCGCAAGCCUGAUGCAGCCAUGCCGCGUGUGUGAAGAAGGCCUUCGGGUUGUAAAGCACUUUCAGCGAGGAGGAAGGUGGUGAGCUUAAUACGCUCAUCAAUUGACGUUACUCGCAGAAGAAGCACCGGCUAACUCCGUGCCAGCAGCCGCGGUAAUACGGAGGGUGCAAGCGUUAAUCGGAAUUACUGGGCGUAAAGCGCACGCAGGCGGUUUGUUAAGUCAGAUGUGAAAUCCCCGGGCUCAACCUGGGAACUGCAUUUGAAACUGGCAAGCUAGAGUCUCGUAGAGGGGGGUAGAAUUCCAGGUGUAGCGGUGAAAUGCGUAGAGAUCUGGAGGAAUACCGGUGGCGAAGGCGGCCCCCCUGGANGAAGACUGACGCUCAGGUGCGAAAGGCGUGGGGAGCAAACAGAUUAGAUACCCUGGUAGUCCACGCUGUAAAACGAUGUCGAUUUUGGAGGUUGUGCCCCUUGAGGCGUGGNUUCCGGAGCUAACGNGUUAAAUCGACCG